ensembl:lncRNA
CAAGCUUGAGGAGGGAGGAUGAAGAAAUGGAAUGGAAAGUAAUGGUAACAUUCAAAAGAGAAGGGGUUCAUUUUCAUCCAUUAAAGUUGACAAAAGCUAUUGAAAAAGAAAUGGGAAAAAUAAAGUUUGCCAAAUACUUAAGUAACAGGAGGUUACUGAUUUUUACUAAAGAUAAGCCACAAAGAGAUAAGUUCCUCCGUGCAGAAACGCUGAAUGGAGAGAGAAUCAGUGUUCAUAUACCAGGAAAUGCAGCUAAGCUUAAAGGCGUUAUUUAUGAUGUACCUGUGGCAAUGACAAUGGAAGAGAUAAUACAGGAAGUGAAAGGAGGUAAAGUGAUGAAAGCUACAAGAUUACAAAUGAUAAGAAAUGGGGUGAAAAAGGAUAGCCUGUCAGUUCUCCUUGAGUUUGAAAGUGCUAUGCCAAAGAAAAUAAGAAUGGGUUACUUGAGUUACGAUGUUAGGGAGUAUAUCCCAGCCCCUAUGAGAUGCUUUAAAUGCCAAAGAAUGGGACACACUGCAGGACAAUGCAAAGGAAAAUUAAGAUGUGCUAGAUGUGGGGGGGAACAUGAAUACGGCAAAUGUGAUAAAGAUGCAAAAACCAGAUGCUGUAACUGUGGAGGAGAACAUAGUGCUGCUUUUGGAGGUUGUCCUGUUCAAAGACAAGCUAGAGAGGUACAGAAGUACAAGAUAAUAAAUCAAGUUUCAUAUGCCGACGCAGUUAAAAAGGUUAAGGAAAGUGAACUAGCUAGAUCUAAAGAUACUCGUGUAGCAAGUAACACAAACCUGUCUGUGGGAAGACAGUCAGCUGAGAUUCUGUCUCAUACAGAAAAUCAAAAGCAAACAGAAAUAAUCACAUGUUGCAAAAAUAUUAACGAGGAUACACUAGUUAUGGAUAAAAUCAGCUUUGUGACUUUCAUCUGUAAGAUUGUGAAUGUGGCAAUGCAGCAACAAAGAAAAAGUGACAGAAUUAAGACAAUAGUACAGGCAGCUACAGAGCUGUUAGGGAUAAAAGAUAUUAAGGCUGAAAUGAUUCAUGAGAUGCUGAACCCUACUAAUUAUAAUGGUUUGUCUCAAGGUGAUUAACAUAUUCAUGGUAUUUCAUAUCCUCCAAUGGAAUGCCAGAAGUCUGCUUGCAAAUGGGCAAGAGUUCAAGAAAAUCAUAACUGACAUGGAUGUUGUGCCUGAUAUUAUUUGUAUUCAAGAGUCAUGGUUAAGACCACAUUUGGAUUUUGUUUUGCUAGGGUAUGGUUCCGUUAGAUGUGAUAGAAUUGGAUCACAAGGUGGAGGAUGUGUAACAUUCAUUAAAGAUACUCUAGCAUAUAGAAGGAUAAAUGUUCAAAAUGAAUAUGAAUGUGUAGUUGUAGAUAUAUGUAGUCCCAGAGGAAACAUUAAACUAGUAAAUUUUUACAACCCAUGCAAGAAGUUAUCAAUGCAAAUAUCUCAAGACAUUAUACCAAGUGUUAACAGAAGAGAAAUAUGGUGCG